GUGGAGCAGGCGGCAUAAAUCAAGUCCGCGGGGCAUGGAGGCUGCUGCCGCUGCUGCAGCUCAGCUAGCCCGGGGCGGGAACUCCCCCUUCUCCUUUCGCCUCCCCAGCUCCCACAACCUGCCCUCUCCUUAAUUCUUCCCUGGAUAAUAGCGCCUUAACGACAAUAGUCAAACUAACAGGGUCAGAACGGCAGGGUUUGUUUGUUUUGGUCUACAGAAAAAACAAAACAAAACAAAACAACCCAGCAGCCUAAAGACCUCUGAAAACUGCAUCGCAAGAUGGAAGAGAGAGAGUCCCACUACUGUUUCGAAAGAGUAAGUUAUUAUUCGAAACCAUGGAAGCCAAAUGCAGGGGCACCAUAAAAUGAAUGAAGCUGAGUGCUUGAAACAUUGCUAGGAGGAGACACCAAGAACACCUCAUGAAUCUAAUUGGAGCAUUAGGCAGGCUUUCUCCAUGUGGUGACAAAAUGGCUGCAGUGAGCCCAAGACUCCUCUGUUUUCUGCUGAAUAAUUGCAGCCCAAAGAGACCAUCCCCUUCUAUUUCAGCAAAGUCUUGAGGUUGAUUCUCAUUGGACCUCUUUGGGUCACAUGUCACGCCUCAACCACUGAACCACUCACUUUCUACAGGGGAACGGACCAUGCUAACUGGUCAAACUGGUGGGCUCUUAUCCCCUAGAAAAACAUGGUGUGGAAGGUGAUGGUGGGAGGUGAUCCAUCAACUCAUGUGGUUCAAGAGAGAGUGGGGGGCAGGGCUUCCAGAGGAAUAUCAGGUGCUGUUAUUAGAAAGGAGAACAGUUAUGGGCAGGCAAAACCAGCAGUUACCAUUACAACAGCGUUUUUCAAUCCCACAGUACACUGCAGUCACCUGGGGGAACUUUCAGACAAGACCACCACCAGUAGUGAUCUACUUGGUCUGAGGUGUGGCCUGGGCAUCAGUAGUGGUUUAAACUCUCCAGGUUGUUCUAACAAACAGCUAAGUCAAAGAUUGCUGCAGUAGGGCUAUUAAUAGCUAAUUAAGCCUUAACCCUGGGGAAUUCCUUGAAGUACUAUCCAUCACUCUAAAGGACUGCAUCUCUCAGGGUAGAGUUUUCAACACUGGAGAAAGUCAGGAGUCUGUGUGGUGCAGUAGAUGUGGGAGUGAACUGGGGUAGACGGACAGGAAGCUCUGAUUGCCCCCAAUUCGAACUACAUUAGCAACCAUCUGUUCUGUACACAAGCUGCCAGCUGUGAUCACGGCAAAAAUUAAAUUUUGAGAAACCUUUUGGUCUCCAAA